AUUGAACGCUGGCGGAAUGCUUUACACAUGCAAGUCGAACGGCAGCACGGGGGCAACCCUGGUGGCGAGUGGCGAACGGGUGAGUAAUACAUCGGAACGUGCCCGGUCGUGGGGGAUAACGUAGCGAAAGUUACGCUAAUACCGCAUACGAUCUGAGGGUGAAAGCGGGGGACCUUCGGGCCUCGCGCGAUCGGAGCGGCCGAUGUCAGAUUAGGUAGUUGGUGGGGUAAAGGCCUACCAAGCCGACGAUCUGUAGCUGGUCUGAGAGGACGACCAGCCACACUGGGACUGAGACACGGCCCAGACUCCUACGGGAGGCAGCAGUGGGGAAUUUUGGACAAUGGGCGCAAGCCUGAUCCAGCCAUUCCGCGUGCAGGACGAAGGCCUUCGGGUUGUAAACUGCUUUUGUAUGGAACGAAAAGGCUCUGGCUAAUACCUGGGGCUCAUGACGGUACCGUAAGAAUAAGCACCGGCUAACUACGUG
rnacentral:rRNA from 1 species